GGAGAGGUGGUGGAGAGAGGAGGUGGACAAGUAGGAGAGAGGACAGGUGGUGGAGAAGAAGAGGAGAGAGGAGAGGUGGUGGAGAGAGGAGGUGGACAAGUAGGAGAGAGGACAGGUGGUGGAGAAGAAGAGGAGAGAGGACAGGUGGUGGAGAAGAAGAGGAGAGGUGGUGGAGAGAGGUGGUGGACAGGUAGGAGAGAGGACAGGUGGUGGAGAAGAAGAGGAGAGAGGAGAGGUGGUGGAGAAGAAGAGGAGAGGUGGUGGAGAGAGGAGGUGGACAGGUAGGAGAGAGGACAGGUGGUGGAGAAGAAGAGGAGAGAGGAGAGGUGGUGGAGAGAGGAGGUGGACAGGUAGGAGAGAGGACAGGUGGUGGAGAAGAAGAGGAGAGAGGAGAGGAGGUGGAGAGAGGAGAGGAGAGAGGACAGGUGGUGGAGAAGAAGAGGAGAGAGGACAGGUG